CAUACGUGCAGUCGAACGGGUGGUAGCAAUACCACUAGUGGCGCACGGGUGCGUAACGCGUAACCAACCUGCCCUGAACUGGGGGAUAGCCCGCCGAAAGGCGGAUUAAUACCGCAUAUACCAGCAGCCUGGCAUCAGGCAAUUGGGAAAGAUUUAUUGGUUCAGGAUGGGGUUGCGUGACAUUAGCUAGUUGGCGGGGUAACGGCCCACCAAGGCGACGAUGUCUAGGGGACCUGAGAGGGUGAUCCCCCACACUGGCACUGAGAUACGGGCCAGACUCCUACGGGAGGCAGCAGUAGGGAAUAUUGGGCAAUGGGCGAGAGCCUGACCCAGCCAUGCCGCGUGCCGGAUGAAGGCCUUCUGGGUUGUAAACGGCUUUUCUCAGGGAAGAAAAAGGGUAUGCGUACUCAACUGACGGUACCUGAGGAAUAAGCACCGGCUAACUCCGUGCCAGCAGCCGCGGUAAUACGGAGGGUGCAAGCGUUGUCCGGAUUUAUUGGGUUUAAAGGGUGCGUAGGCGGCCCGUUAAGUCCGGGGUGAAAGCCCACAGCUCAACUGUGGAACUGCCCUGGAUACUGGCGGGCUUGAGUCCAGACGAGGUUGGCGGAAUGGAUGCUGUAGCGGUGAAAUGCAUAGAUAGCAUCCAGAACCCCGAUUGCGAAGGCAGCUGACUAGGCUGGUACUGACGCUGAGGCACGAAAGCGUGGGGAGCGAACAGGAUUAGAUACCCUGGU
rnacentral:rRNA from 1 species